UACGUAGGGUGCGAGCGUUAAUCGGAAUUACUGGGCGUAAAGCGGGCGCAGACGGUUACUUAAGCAGGAUGUGAAAUCCCCGGGCUCAACCUGGGAAUUGCGUUCUGAACUGGGUAGCUAGAGUGUGUCAGAGGGGGGUAGAAUUCCACGUGUAGCAGUGAAAUGCGUAGAGAUGUGGAGGAAUACCGAUGGCGAAGGCAGCCCCCUGGGAUAGCACUGACGUUCAUGCCCGAAAGCGUGGGUAGCAAACAGG
rnacentral:rRNA from 1 species